rnacentral:rRNA from 1 species
UUACACAUGCAAGUCGAACGGCAGCACGGACUUCGGUCUGGUGGCGAGUGGCGAACGGGUGAGUAAUGUAUCGGAACGUGCCCAGUAGCGGGGGAUAACUACGCGAAAGCGUAGCUAAUACCGCAUACGCCCUACGGGGGAAAGCAGGGGAUCGCAAGACCUUGCACUAUUGGAGCGGCCGAUAUCGGAUUAGCUAGUUGGUGGGGUAACGGCUCACCAAGGCGACGAUCCGUAGCUGGUUUGAGAGGACGACCAGUCACACUGGGACUGAGACACGGCCCAGACUCCUACGGGAGGCAGCAGUGGGGAAUUUUGGACAAUGGGGGAAACCCUGAUCCAGCCAUCCCGCGUGUGCGAUGAAGGCCUUCGGGUUGUAAAGCACUUUUGGCAGGAAAGAAACGUCAUGGGUUAAUACCCCGUGAAACUGACGGUACCUGCAGAAUAAGCACCGGCUAACUACGUGCCAGCAGCCGCGGUAAUACGUAGGGUGCAAGCGUUAAUCGGAAUUACUGGGCGUAAAGCGUGCGCAGGCGGUUCGGAAAGAAAGAUGUGAAAUCCCAGAGCUUAACUUUGGAACUGCAUUUUUAACUACCGGGCUAGAGUGUGUCAGAGGGAGGUGGAAUUCCGCGUGUAGCAGUGAAAUGCGUAGAUAUGCGGAGGAACACCGAUGGCGAAGGCAGCCUCCUGGGAUAACACUGACGCUCAUGCACGAAAGCGUGGGGAGCAAACAGGAUUAGAUACCCUGGUAGUCCACGCCCUAAACGAUGUCAACUAGCUGUUGGGGCCUUCGGGCCUUGGUAGCGCAGCUAACGCGUGAAGUUGACCGCCUGGGGAGUACGGUCGCAAGAUUAAAACUCAAAGGAAUUGACGGGGACCCGCACAAGCGGUGGAUGAUGUGGAUUAAUUCGAUGCAACGCGAAAAACCUUACCUACCCUUGACAUGUCUGGAAUCCUGAAGAGAUUUAGGAGUGCUCGCAAGAGAACCGGAACACAGGUGCUGCAUGGCGGUCGUCAGGCUCGUGUCGUGAGAUGUUGGGUUAAGUCCCGCAACGAGCGCAAACCCUUGUCAUUAGUUGCUACGAAAGGGCACUCUAAUGAGACUGCCGGUGACAAACCGGAGGAAGGUGGGGAUGACGUCAAGUCCUCAUGGCCCUUAUGGGUAGGGCUUCACACGUCAUACAAUGGUCGGGACAGAGGGUCGCCAACCCGCGAGGGGGAGCCAAUCCCAGAAACCCGAUCGUAGUCCGGAUCGCAGUCUGCAACUCGACUGCGUGAAGUCGGAAUCGCUAGUAAUCGCGGAUCAGCAUGUCGCGGUGAAUACGUUCCCGGGUCUUGUACACACCGCCCGUCACACCAUGGGAGUGGGUUUUACCAGAAGUAGUUAGCCUAACCGCAAGGGGGGCGAUUACCACGGUAGGAUUCAUGACUGGGGGUG